GAGAUCCCUCCACGCUCCACAAGCUAUACCUACCUCUGUCUCUCUCUGUGUUAGGAGGACCACUCUCCAGGGCGCGUUCAAAUCCCUGAACAUGCCAACUGCCAGAUAUGUGCAUCCUUGGGAAGACUAAAAAAAAGCAAGGACUCUGGCUGCCCAGAAGUGAAUGGGGACAGACGCCUGGCAUACACACUUGGCUACCUUGAGGAGGCCAAAUACCUGGGCUUAUGUCCAAGGUUCUUCACCUUUGACCAAAGCCUGGCUCCUCGGUAACCACGUGUGUGACUCUGGGAUCGGUCUGAAAGCUCUUGGAAAAUGAAUGAAGCUGAGCAGCUGAAACACUAAAAGUUCUUCAGUCUUAUCAUCAAGCCAGGACAUUUACACAAGAUGAUGACAACAGCUGUCAGAAUAACCCAGCAGUUCCUGAGGGAAGCCGACCACCUGUUAGCCCACCAAGUCCAAGGCCCGGAUGUUUUGUGCGGGGUGAUGGUGCAAGAUACACAAACAUUCAACACCCUGUAAGACAGAUGAGUUGACCAUGACCACCAGGUGGUCCAAAUUCAUCACAAAACAGGACGCCUUCUGAAACUGUGCUGUGGCUAGUGGAAAUUACUAGACUUAAACCCACCCAGGCAAAUCAAUAAAAACCUACUGCAGGCCGAAAUUUAGCUUAGUGGUUCUGCCACCUUC